AAUAGAUACCCCGGUAGUCCACGCCGUAAACGAUGAGUGCUAAGUGUUAGAGGGUUUCCGCCCUUUAGUGCUGCAGCUAACGCAUUAAGCACUCCGCCUGGGGAGUACGGUCGCAAGACUGAAACUCAAAGGAAUUGACGGGGGCCCGCACAAGCGGUGGAGCAUGUGGUUUAAUUCGAAGCAACGCGAAGAACCUUACCAGGUCUUGACAUCCUCUGACAACUCUAGAGAUAGAGCGUUCCCCUUCGGGGGACAGAGUGACAGGUGGUGCAUGGUUGUCGUCAGCUCGUGUCGUGAGAUGUUGGGUUAAGUCCCGCAACGAGCGCAACCCUUGAUCUUAGUUGCCAUCAUUCAGUUGGGCACUCUAAGGUGACUGCCGGUGACAAACCGGAGGAAGGUGGGGAUGACGUCAAAUCAUCAUGCCCCUUAUGACCUGGGCUACACACGUGCUACAAUGGAUGGUACAAAGGGCUGCAAGACCGCGAGGUCAAGCCAAUCCCAUAAACCAUUCUCAGUUCGGAUUGUAGG
rnacentral:rRNA from 1 species